rfam:Prunus persica cultivar Lovell chromosome G6, whole genome shotgun sequence.
AGUGGAUCAAUGAUGUUUAUCAAUACUGCGUUAUCUAUCUGCAAUUUCCCACAAGGAAUUGAAGAUAAUCUGAAGUUACUGAGAUCUGAU